rnacentral:lncRNA from 1 species
CUUUGCCAGGUGUCCUCUAGUUAGAUUUGGGGAGAGGGUGUUGAGGGCAGAAUUGCCCCAUUGAGAACCAGUGAUCUGGUGGGAAACAGUACGAGUCACAGACGAGUGCUGGGCAUACAAAACGGACAGUUGAGUGUGUGAAUGAGGAGGUGGGCCCUGGAACCAGGCUUCCUGGGCCUCUGAUCUCAGCCCUGCCCUUCCCUGGCCUGUGACCUGGUUAGGUGUGAAAUGGGAGUGAUAAGAGCACCUACUCCAGAGGAGUAGACUGAAGUCAAUGCCAGUGCCCUCCUCUAGUUUCAGACCUGGCAAGAGGGUUUUCCCUCCACCUCAUCCCCCACCUUUAACCAGACUUACGUAUAUGAUUCAUAUUAGAAGAAAAAGGGGGCUUCUGAAACCAGAGUGUUGUGAUUUCGAAGAUGUGACUCAACUUCUACAGGGAAUUGAAUGUUUUAUUUACUGUUUUGUUUGUUUUUAGAAAUGAGAGUAGAUAAAAAUUCAUUUGGUUGGAAUGAAGUACAUUGAAUAUUCAAGUAAAUUAGGGAUUAAUUCAACCCAAUGGGUUUUUGGGUUUUGUAUCUGUUAGUACAUCCUGCAUUGGGGGUGAGGUUUCUGUCUGUGUGAGCACUUCUCAAAAUGAAUUUGGACCUUCUCCAGAGAGGCCUUAUCUGUUAAUUAUUUGAAAUAAUAGUAUAAGGAGAUGGUAACCAUCCGUGUGGUUUACAUGUUAAAAAUACAAACUAAAGUUCCCAGAAGCUGACUCAGUCAUUCGCCACUAGAACUAUUCUGGAAAAAGUUCUCACUUCACUCAUUCAUUCCUUUGAAUUUUCUGACUUCAAUAAAGCAUGACUUGGAUCACAGAA